GGGUGAUAAGCAGUGCUAGCUGCCUUACUGAGAUCAAUUCCCUGGGGCUGGACGCUGUGCUCUAACCAUCUGCUCCUUCAAAUACCAUCUACCUUUGUCAUCCUCCAGCAUGAGGACAACCCCUACUUCCCUCAGAAGCACUUUUAGGGUAUUCUGUCUGCACAGCUACCUUGCCCACGUGGAGUCUGGAAAAUUCCAUCACCUAGAGGUGUGUCACCCACUGAAAAGAGUUUGGGAAUGCUCCAGUAAGCACAAUCUGUGAAGACAUAAAGGCAUGUGUUUACUCUUCAUCUAGAAUGGACUCUUGAGGGUUGGGGGGUGGGGCUUUGGCUUUGUAUUUUCUUAUAGCUACGUAACAUGUGAUCUGUUUUACUUGCCCAGUAAGUUUGUUGUCAUUACUUAAUAAAUAUUUAAUGACAGCAGUGAAUAAAAACUAAGAAGCUAGGCUAGGUAUUUCAGUGGUCAGGUGGACGAAUUCUGUUAGAACAAACUUUUCCACCUUCCUUUCCAAACUUGCGUUUGUUUUGUACUUCAGCCUUAGGUCCUAAAUUGGAGCCAGAAACUGUGGGUCAAAGGAGGAAACAACCACUGAAAAUAAACAAGGCAAGAGAUGGAAGGUAUGUGUACCUUAGGCUGUUUCAUAACAUGUAUACAGGGAGGACAUGCUAUUUAGAUUAUCUUGGCCCAUCCAUGCUCUGCAGAGCAAGUAGUGACUCCCUGGAUGAAGGGGCAAAUCUGGGAAGCUAGACUCAGCAGAGGCACCUGCUGUCACUAACAGGCCACUGGAACACAUUGAAAGGUAAUCCAAGUUAUGGGUCUAGUGGCAACAAGGGCGAUUGGAGUAGGUUUUAAGGAACAUGGCCGGCCUCUCUUUUGUGAGGUAUCUGCUCCUGGUUAGGUAAUUGCAGGACUUUUGUAGGGGGAAAAAAAGACUCAUAUGCAGAAGAGCAAGUAACAUUUUUUCUAGAAAUUAAUUUGCAUUUAUGCCUAUGAUCCGUUUCAAGUUGAUUUUGUGUAAGGUGUGAGGAAUAGAUCAAGGCCUAUCUUUGCAUUUAUGUAUGUAUGCAUUUAUUUGCAUCUGAAUAUCCAAAUGUUUCAGCAUUAUUUGUUUAAAAAAUACCAUGUUUUCUCCAUUGAACUGCUUUGCAGCUUUAACAAAGAACAAUUGACCCUAAAUAGAGGGUGUAUUUUUGGACCCUCAAUUCUAUUUCAUUGAUCUAUAGUUCUUUUUUCUUUUUUUUUUAAUUUUUUUUUUGUAUAACUUAACUUUAUUUUUUAAAAUUUAUAUCCAAAUUAGUUAGUAUAUAGUGAAGCAAUGAUUUCAGGAGUAGAUUCCUUAAUGCCCCUUACCCAUUUAGCCCAUCCCCCCUCCCACAACCCCUUCAGUAGCCCUCAGUUUGUUCUCCAUAUUUAUGAGUCUCUUCUGUUUUGUCCCCCUCCCUGUUUUUAUAUUAUUUUUGUUUCCCUUCCCUUAUGUUCAUCUGUUUUGUCUCUGAAAGUCCUCAUAUGAGUGAAGUCAUAUGAUACUUGUCUUUCUCUGACUAAUUUCACUUAGCAUAAUACCCUCUAGUUCCAUCCACAUAGUUGCAAAUGGCAAGAUUUCAUUCUUUUUGAUUGCCGAGGAAUACUCCAUUGUGUAUAUAUACCACAUCUUCUUUAUCCAUUCAUCCAUCAAUGGACAUUUGGGCUCUUUCCAUACUUUGGCUAUUGUUGAUAGUGCUGCUCUAAACAUGGGGGUGCAUGUGUCCCUUCGAAACGGCACACCUGUAUCCCUUGGAUAAAUACCUAGUAGUGCAAUUGCUGGGUCGUAGGGUAGUUCUAUCUUUAGUUUUUUGAGGAACCUCCAUACUGUUUUCCAGAGUGGCUGCACCAGCUUUCAUUCCCACCAACAAUGCAAAAGAGAUCCUUUUUCUCUGCAUCUUCACCGACAUCUGUUGUUGCCUCAAUUCUAUUUCGUUAAUCUAUAGUUCUUUUUUCUUUUUUUAUUUUUUUAAUCUUUAUUUUUGAGAGAGAGACAGAGUGUGAGUGGGGGAGGGGCACAGAGAGAGGGAGACACAGAAUCCAGAGUAGGCUCCAGGUUCUGAGCUGUCAGCACAGAGCCCGACGCGGGGCUCGAACUCACGAACCGCGAGAUCAUGACCUGAGCUGAAGUCGGGUGCCCAACCAACCGCGCCACCCAGGUGCCCCUCAUUGAUCUAUAUUUCUAUCCUUUUGCUAAUACCACUGUGUCUUGACUGCUGUUUAGCCUUGAAAUUAGGUAGUAUGAAGCCUCCAACUUUGUUCUUUUUCUAUUUUUGUUUGUUUGUUGUUGGCUGUUAUGGUUCCUUUGGCUCUCCAUAUAAAAUUUUGAAUCAGCUGUCUGUGUCAACAAAAAAAUCCUGCAGAAUUGUGAUUGGGAUUGCACUGACUCUGUACAUUGGUUUGGAGAAAACUGUCAUCUUGACAGUCUUGAAUCUUCCAAUCCUUGACUAUUGUAUGUCUCAGCAUUUAUUUAGAUUUUCUUUGGUUUCUUCCAUCAAUCUUAUGUGGAUUUUAGCAGACAGAUUCUGCACGUGUUUUAUUAGGUUUAUACCUGAGUACUUUGCUUAUUUUGUAUACUAGUAUAGAUAGUAUUUUUUAAAUUUGAAAUUCCAGUUGUUCAUUGCUGGUAUAUAGGAAUAAGAUGACUUUUGUAUGUUGACCCGUAUCCUGUCACCUUGCUAACUCACUAGUUUCAGGCACAUUAGGUCUUUGAAAUUUUUGAUGUACCCAAUCAUGUUAUCUAUAAAUAAAGUUUUUUUUUUCUAUUCCAAUUUAUAUGUUCUUUACUUCUUUUUAUUGCAUUAUUAUACCAGUUAGGACAUUCAGUACGGUGUUGAGUAGGAGGGGUCAGAGGGCAUCCUUUCCUCAUUCCCAAUCUUAGGAGGAAACCAUCGAGUCAUCAUUAAGUAAGAAGUUAGUUUCAGGUUUUCCAUAGAUGCCUUUUAUUAGGUUAAGGAAGUUCCCUUCUGAGUUUGCUGACAGUUGCUGUCAUGAAUGGAUAUUGAAUUUAUUCUAAUGCUUUUCCUGCAUCCAGUAAGAUACUCAUGUGGUUAUUCUUCUUCAGACUUUUGACAAGGUGAGUUGCACCAAUUGCUUUUCAAAUGUUGAAAAAGCCUUGCAUUCCUGGGAUAAAUCCCACUUGGUUGUGUCAUAUUAUCUUUUUCAUAUAUUGAUGGAUUCAACUUGUUAAUAAUUUGUAAGAUAUUUUUGUGUUUUUUUUUAAGAUUUUUAAAGUUUAUUUAUUUAUUUUGAAGGAGAGAGAGCAUGCGUGAGCAGGGGAGGGGCAGAGAGAGGGAAUCCCAGUGCAGAGCCUGAUGUAGGGCUCAAUCCCAUGAACAGUGAGAUCGUGAUCUGGGUCGAAGUUAAGAGUUGGAUGCUAAGCCGACUGAGCCCCCAGGUGCCCUUUUUGUAAGAUUUUUGUAUCUUUGUUCAUGAGGGAUAUUCAUUUGAAAUUUUCUUGAUUGUAAUGUCUUUAUAUGGUAAUUUCAUUGGGUAAUAAAAUACUAACCUUACAAAAUCAAUUGAGAAACGUUCCUUUAUCUUCUUUUUCAGGAUGAGAGUGUAUAGAAUUAUUAUUUCUUCCAUCAGUGUUUGGUUGACUUUACCCUCUGGGCCUGGAGUGUCCUUUUUAGAAGGUUUAAAAUGACAAAUUCAGUUUCUUCAAUAAAUAUUAUAUAUAUACAUAUAUAUAUAUGUAUAUAUAUAAAAGAAAUAAAUAGAUUUCUUUAAUAGAAAUGCAUCUAUUCCUUCCUGAAUGAGUUUGAUAGUUUGCUUACUAAAGAAUCUCAUCUGGGGCACCUGCGUGGCUCAGUCGGUUAAGCUCCAACUUCAGCUCAGGUCAUGAUCUCACAGCUUGUGAGUUCGAGCCCCACAUUGAGCUCUGUGCUGACAGCUCAGAGCCUGGAGCCUGCUUCAGAUUCCAUGUCUCCCUCUCUCUGCUCCUCCCCACUCACGCUCUGUCUCUGUCUCUCUCUCAAAAAUAAAUAAACAUUAAAAAAUUUUUUUUAAAUAAAGAAUUUCAUCUAUAUUAUCAAAUUUAUAAACAUAGAGUUUUUCAUAGAAUUUCCCUUAUGAUCUUUUUAGUGUCUGUGGGGUCAGUAGUAAUUUACCUUCUUUUAUUCCUGAUUUUGGUAACUCAUGUCCUCUCUAUUAUUCUUGGUCAGUUUAGUGAGAGGUUUAUCAAUUAUACUGAACUUUUCAAAGAACCAGCUUUUGGUUUUAUUAAUUUUCUCUAUUCUGUUUCUAUUUUCAAUUUUAAUUGAUUUCAGCUUUUACCUUCAUAAUUUCCUUUCCUUUUUCUUGGUUUGGGUUUAUUUUGCUCUUUUUUCCCUAGAUUUUUGAAGUGUAAGAUUAGAUCAUGGAAUUAAGACAGUCUUCUUUUCCUACAUAAGCAUUUAAUGCUAUAAAUUUCCUUUGAAUCACUGCGUUAAGUGCCUCCCACAAAUUCUGAUAUGUUUGUUGUAUUUUCAUUUUCAUUCAGUUCCCCCCACCCCAAUUUCCCAUGUGACUUUCCCUUUGACCCAUGGAUAAUUUAGAAGUAUGUUAUUUGAUUUCCAAAUAUUUGGGAGAUUUACUAGAUAUCUUUCUUUUAUUACUGUCUAAUUCAAUCCCAUUAUGAUCCAGGAAUAUAUUUUGUAUGAUUUCAGUUAUUCUAAAUUUGUUAAGGUUGGUUUUAUGGCCCAGAAUAUGGUCUUUCAUGGUGAAUGUUCCGUGUAUACUUACAAAAAAAUGUGUUUUCUGUUACUGUUGGGUACAGUGUUAUAGAAAUGUCAAUUACAUCAACUGGUUUAUAAUAUUGUUCAUGUUUUCUAUAUUGGCACUGACUGUCUACUUCUAUCAAUUACUGUGAAAAAGAUGUUGAAGGCUCUAAAUAUAAUUGUGGAUUUAUCUACUUCCCAUUCCAUUUCUGUGUCUGUUUUCAGUUUUUGGAAGCUCUCUUAUUAGCUAAAUACACAUUUAAGAUUGUUGUUAUUAUUUUUUUUUUAAUUUUUUUUUUUUUAGUGUUUAUUUAUUUUUGAGAGACAGAGAGAGACAGCAUGAGCUGGAGAGGGCAGAGAGAGAGAGAGGGAGACCCAGAAUAUGAAGCAGGUUCCAGGCUCUGAGCUGUCAGCCCAGAGCCCGACGCGGGGCUCGGGCUCACAGACCGCGAGAUCAUGACUGGAGCCGAAGUCGGACGCUCAACCGACUGAGCCACCCAGGCGCCCCAAGAUUGUUGUUAUUAUUUGUGUGUGUGUGUGUGUGUGAGAGAGAGAGAGAGAGAGAGAGAGAGAGAGAGAGAGAAUUGACCCUUUUCUAUUAUGAAAUAUAUUUUUUUAUCCCUGAUAAUAUUCCUUGUUUUGAGGUCUACUUUGAUACUAAUAUAGCCACUCCAUUUGUCUUUUUUUUUUAAGUUGAUUUAUUUAUUUUGAGAGAGAGAGAGAAGGGGAGGGGAAGAGAGAGAAGGAGAGAGAGAGAAUCCCAAGCAGGCUCCACACCAGCAGCGCUGAGCCCGAUGAGGGGCUUGAACUCACAAACUGGGAGAUCAUGACCUGAGCUGAAACCAAGGGUUGGACGCUUAACCGACUGAGCCACCCAGGUGCGCCGCCCCCCCCAUUUGUCUUUUGAUUAAUGUCUGCAUGAUGUCUCCUUUUUCCAUCUUUUCACUUUUAACCCAUUUAUGUUUUUAUUCUUGAAGUGGGUUUCUUACAGAUAGCAUAUAUUGUGGUACUGUUUAUUUUUAAUUCAAUCUGACAAACUGUUAAUUAGUAUGUUUAGAUCAUUUACAUUGAAUGUACUUACUGAUAUUUUUAGAUUUGCUUUAUUAUUUAUUUUCCAGUUGUCCCUCUGGUUUUGCCUCUUCCUCCUUUCUAUUGAUCUUUCACUCUGUUUACUGACUCUUCUUUCUUUUCUUCUCCAUUUUGCCCUUGAGGCUUCAAUUGAAGUAUCAAUUUCAGACAUUGUAUUUUUUCACACCUAAAAUUUCAAUUUGGUUCUUUAAAACUUUAAAAAAAUAAAUUUCACAUUUUAGAGCAAUUAUAGGUUCACAGUGAAAUUGAGAAGAAAGUAUAGAGCAUUCCCAUAUGCCUUCUGCCCCUAUACAUGCACAAAUUCCCCCAUAAUCAACAUCUGGCAUGAAAGUGGGUCUUUUGUUACAAUCAAUGAAUCUAUAUUGAUACAUCUUUAUCACCCAAAGUCCACAGUUUACUUUAGGGUUCACUCUUGGUAUACAUUUCAUAGGUUUUAACAAAUGUAUAAUGACAUGUAUCCACCUUUAUAGCUUUGUACAGAAUAGUUUCACUGCCCUAAGAAUCCUCUGUGCUCUAGUUAUUCAUCCCUCCCUCUCCUCUAAGCCGUUGGUAACCACUGAUCUUUUUUCCUGUAUCCAUAGAUUUGCCUUUUCCAGAAUGUCUCAUAGUUGAAAUCAUACAGUAUGUAGUCUUUUCAGAAGGGCUUCUUUCACUAAGAAAUAUGCACUUAAGUUUCUUCCAUGUGUUUUAAUGGUUUUAGCGCUCAUUUCUUUUUAGUGAUGAAUAAUAUUCCAUUUUGUGAAUGCACCACAGUUUAUCCAUUCACCUGCUAAAGGGCAUCUUGUCUGCUUCUAAUUUAGCAAUUAUAAAGCUGCUCUAAACAUUCUUCUGCAGGUUUUUGUGUGGACAUAAGUCUUUAACUUAUCUGGGUAAAUGCCUAGCAUACAUUUACUUUUGUAAGAUGGGCUUUUUUUUUUUUUUUUACGGUUUUUAUUUCUCUGCCUGUAUUUUCUGUUUUCUUUUUCCUUUUUUUCAACAUUGUUAAUUUUUACUUCUCAUAGCAUGUUAUAAUAGCUGCUUAAAGUCUGUACCUGAUUAUUCUAAUAUCUUGGUCAUCUCAGUGGGUGGCAUUUGUUGAUUGUCUUUCCCUUGUAAAUUGGUCUUUUCUUGGUUCUUUGUGUGUUGAGUAAUUUUGGAUUGUAUCCCAGACGUUUCGAAUAUUGAAUAUGAAUGAUUCCCAUUAAAAUCCUCCAGAGAAUGUUGACUUGUUGGAUUAUUUUAACAGGUAGUCUACCUGGGUUAUUUCAGACUGUCUGGCUACAUUCUGUGCAUGAUAGCUGCAGUGUCAAGUUCCAGUGUUUUUGGAACCUUUGCUAGGCUGCCUUGAAUAUGUUCCAUGCAUAUGCAGCUCAGGAUUAAGCCUAUGCCUUGUGCUAGUUUGUACACAGAGUCAGGAGAGCCCUCUCUCCAACUUCUCUAGCUCCCUUCUUCUUCUUUUAAUGUUUAUUUAUUUUUGAGAGAGAGGGAGCAAGCGGGGGGAGGGGCAGGGUGGGGGGAACAGAGGAUCAAAAGCGGGCUCCGCCCUGAUAGCAGAGAGCCCAAUGUGGGGCUCUAACUGGAGAACUGUGAAAUCAUGACCUGAGUCAAAGUCAGAUGCUUAACCGACUGAACCACCCAGGCACCCCUCUCUAACUCCCUUCUAUUCAGGAUUCCCCCACAUUCUCCCACCUGCAGAGACUCCUUGGUCCUCUGGCCAGAUAGGUGGGGUUCUCUUGGAGUCUUGGAUUCCUGUGCUGCUACAUAGUUCCUGUAAUCAGGACUACUUUUGGUGCUAAGAAGAGAGUGAAAAAAGAGAAAAUUUACCCGGUGAUUUAUUCCAAUUCUCUUUGGACCGCAAGAACCAUAAAAAAAAUGUUUGACCAUAAAGCAAAGUUUUUAUUGGGUAUUAGCUGAUCAUGCCAUUUGACACCCUGGCUGAUUCUGCUAGGGUAUCACCCUUGGGAAGCUCUGAGAGAAGGGACACACACACACACACACACACACACACACACAUGAAAAGAAACCCAGAUUCUCUCCCAUAUUCUUUGCUCAAGGCACUGCCUUUCCCAGUGUUUCCAGACACAGGGUCCUUUCUUGAGGUGUUAGCUGUCUGUGGUACCACCAUUGUAGCUCUGUUGCAUGACUGCCCUUGGUUCAGCACUGUGAAAAAAAAAAAACAGGAAAUGAAAUGAGAGCCCCCCGGGCGCCUGGGUGGCUCAGUUGGUUGGGCAUCCAACUUCAGCUCAGGUCACGAUCUUGCUGCUCGUGGAUUCUAGCCCUGCAUCGGGCUCUGUGCUGACAGCUUGGAGCCUGGAGCCUGCUUCAGAUUCUGUGUCUCUUUCUCUCUCUGCCCCUUCUUCACUCACACUCUGUUUCUCUGCCUCUCUCAAAAAUUAAUAAGCAUUAAAAAAAUUUUUUUAAAUGGGAGCUCCAUCCCUGUACAAAUUGCUUUUCCAGCUUUUGACUCCCCUCCUAACUAUGACUGGGUUUCUUUACUUUUCAGAUGCUUUAGAUUGUUGUUUUUUGCAUUUCAUCCGCAAUUUGUCACUGUCGUCAGCAGAAGAGACAGGCGCUAGUGAGCUGCCUCUUGACUGCACUUUCCUUUGUGCUCUCUUUCCACUUCCAUCUCAACUGCCCCUGUCACAGUGCAAUGACAGACCCCUACCCUAUCCUUGCAGUCUGUGAACGGAAACCACAGCUGUCCUUUUAAAACAAUACCUUCAACUUCGUGUUUUACUUGUGGUUUUUACAUCCUGGCUAACUAGGUAAAGCUUGAUUAAGUGUUGUAAAAUUCAAGAACUUCACUUUGAAGUUGACUGAUUGCUAGUGGAGUUUACCACUAAAAUGCAAGUAUGCAACCACACCAAUGGAUCGUCUGUCUCUCUGGUGUUUUUUUUGUUUGUUUUUUUGUUUGUUUUUUGAGAGAGAGAGUGAGUGGGGGGCGGUGCACAGGGAUAUGUUGGGGGAGAGAGAGAGAGAAAAUCUUAAGCAGGUUCUGUGCUGGGGCUCGGGGCUCAAUCCCACAACUGUGAGAUCAUGACCUGAGCUGAAAUCAAGAGUCAGAGGCUUAAGCUACUGAGCCACCCAGGUACCUCUCUCCUGUGUCUUCAUAAUCAGUCUUCCUCCUCCUUCCCAAUCCACCUAUCCAAUCUCUAAUUCAUUCUUCUGCUCCCCUCCCAGUCCACUUCUUUUCCCAACAAACUUACCCAUGUUUAUUCUUUCUGAAAGGACCUUAUCCUUUACCAGAAUUUCAACACUAACUUCUAAGAACCAAUCCCACUUUUGCCUCACGUCUCUAUCCACAAUUAAAUCUCUCAGAAAAAUCCACAGUGAAAUAUCUCAGAAAAGUAAAGGGUUAUAUUUUCAUUUUCACUUAAAAAGGGAUCAUGGUUAUUCUGGAAAAUUUACGCAUUUGUUACGCAUUUGUUCAUAAAAACAAAAACAAUUUCCCAUUAGUCUGACCAUCCAAAGAGAAUAUAUGUGUGGCCUUGAGUGUAAUUUAAAAUUUAAGUUAGAAAAACUUAUAAAUUAUCCAUAUCCUGUGUAGAAAAAACAGAAAAGGUAAAUAAUCAAAAAGGAACACAACUCCCCCAUAAUUCCACCCAGAGGUAAAUACUGUUUUUAGUUCCAUGUGUGUUUACACACACACACACACACACACACACACACACACACACACACAUUUAUGUGGGUUGGUUGGUUAGGGAGGGCAAUUGGUUGGGCCUGAACUGGUAUCACAGCUUUGCUGUGUUGGAGAAAGGGGUUGGGUAAAGCAGGUGUUGAUUUGCAAAGGUCGAUAUGCAUAAAGCAUUUUUGAUUUUGCUAUUUGGACAAGGCUGAAACUUGGAACAGAUGGAAACUCCUGGGGAGCAAAAUGUAGGGAAUAGAAAGAAUUUAAUCAUGUGUGUUAUGUGCCUUCUUGUCUUUCUCUCUCUUUUUUUUUUUUUUUUUUACCUGCUUUCCCCAAAAGCUCACCCAGCCGUUCUGUAAAUCUUAGGCCUGUGGAGACAGAGACUAUCGGCAAAAGGCUUAGAUGACAAAGGAAACAGGAAUGGGAAGGGGCUUCCUUCACAUUUCAGUCAGAGCAUGGCCGGUCUCCAGAGUGGUGCACGCUGAGGUCAGCUCCAUUUUGUGCUGCAUCGGUCUGUAGCUUCCUGGGCCUGUAAGAGGCAACCUCUUGUGUCUGGAACCAACAUUCUCCCAGUAACUCUGGGCGGACUAUGGCAGAAGCCAAGGGAGGGCUGCAGUGGAGGAAUGCGAGAGCAUAAUUUAUGCCACGAGAGCAUAAAUGAGGAGCACAUUAAUAAAAGCAACUCAUGGAGACUCUAAAAAAGAAUGGGAGGUGAUUUUACUGGGGAAGGGUCCUGGGGCCAACAGUUUGAAGAAGUAUGUGAAUGUGUUUAUUUCUAUAUCUAUAUUUCAAAAAUGGGACUCUUCCACACGUACUAUUCGGUAAUCUUUUUUCUUAGUAAUAUGCCUUGAACAUCUUGAUAUGUUAAAUAUAGAGAUAUUUUUUAUCAUUUUAAGGCUGUAUUCCAUUGCAUGUGUUAUCUACACGUGUCAUAAUGACUUUAACCAUUCUCUACCUUUUAGGUUGUUUUCAACUUGUUAGUAUUAUUAUCAAUUCAUUUAUUGUUGGUAAUUUAUUAGUAAAAUAAUAAUGCAUUUUCUUGUUUUUUUAAAAAAAAGGAAGCCAAAACACUGUUCGAGCUCCCAUACCUUCAGUCUUAGAAUCCUAUUUGAGUCCCUUUACCUAGUUUGGUGCCACUUAAAAUGUUUUACUGAUUUCUACACAUCUUUUCUGUAUAUGUUAAAUCUAUUCUCAGUUUGAGUUCCACAGCCACUAGUGCUGCCCCAAAAAGAAAAACAAAAUGGGCCCUAAUAGUGCCCGUAUAUUUGUACCCUCCCUCCUGGCCCAUCUCUAGGCCCACUGUCAGGAAAGGGGCUCACAGACAUAUAUUCUAAAUAUAAAUAUUAUAAAACUGAAUAGACUAGACUUCCCAGGGACAAUUUCAUUUUAAAGGCAACAAAGAAGUCUUGGAACCAAAUGAUUAAAACUCUUAUGUAUAUGGCAAAGGUAUUUGGGUUUGGGGGGGUGGGGAGAAGGGUAGAGAGGAGCUGGGGAGCAGGGGCACUGAGAUACCCUUGAAUCCCACAGAACGUGACCUACUUUUUCCGAUGAAAGAUUGUUCCCGGCAGUACUGGAUUUGAAAGGAUUCUCAACGUCUUCUUCUAAAGGUUGUCACAGCAGUUAAGCUUAAUGAUCCAUUCUUGUCAUGAUCAAAGACACUUUCAUGAUUUUUGCACCCACGGCACCAGUAUUUUGAGAUUAAAAAAAAAAUCAAGCAUGUAUUAAUUACCUCUGCUUCUAAAAAUAGAAAUACUUAAAAAGGUUUUUUCUAAUAAUCAAAGAAAUAUGUGCAGAUUGUACCAAGAUUCAAGGAUUAUAGAAAUGAACAAAGUAGAGAGAGUCCCCGGAAUCCAAUCCCCAGAUACAAAUAGUUUGUACAUAUCUGAAUAGAUUUAAUUCUGUGCCUGUAUAUCUGCCCCCCCACAAUACAUAACAGAAAUGGAAUCAUACUAUACUAUUUUUCAAAUUGCUUUUUUUCACAUAAAACAUAUAAUGGGCAGAUUUCUCCAUCCAUUCCGAUGGAGGUAUUGUAUAGAUUUAUGAUAAUUUAUUUAACCAAUUUUUCUUCAUUGAUAUUUAGAUUCUCAAUUUUUUUUUAUAUUUUAAACAAUAAUGAGGAUUCUUAUAGUUGCACCAUUGCUGACUUUGUUUUUUUUUUUUCUGAAGGAAUUUCUAGAAAUAGAAUUUGUUGUAUCAAAGGGUAUGAGUAUUUUAAAUUUUAAAAUAUAUUGCUUAAUUGCUCCACGAAGGUUGGACUAAUUUAUAUUAGUCCAGGUUUCUUGUAAAGCAGAAAUAACCAGUUAGAAAACCUGUUUAUUUCCACACUUCCUUGCCAACAAAGGGGGUUAUCAAACUUUUUUUUUUUUUUUUUCAACGUUUAUUUAUUUUUGGGACAGAGAGAGACAGAGCAUGAACGGCGGGAGGGGCAGAGAGAGAGGGAGACACAGAAUCGGAAACAGGCUCCAGGCUCUGAGCCAUCAGCCCAGAGCCUGACGCGGGGCUCGAACUCCCGGACUGCGAGAUCGUGACCUGGCCGAAGUCGGACGCUUAACCGACUGUGCCACCCAGGCGCCCCGCAAACUUUUUAAUCUUUGUUGAUCUGACUGGUAGAAAAAUUUCUAAUGUGAAUUAAUUGCUCUAAUUUUCAGUGCUCCUUUUGCCGUAUGUUAAGUUUCCUCCAAAAUCUAGGACUAUUUUUAGGCUCUCUUUUCCGUUUUAUUGGUCUUUCUUUUACUUUACCAGUACCAUACUGUUUUAUUAACUUUUCUAACAUAAUUUCUAACAUAAUUUCUAACAUAAUUCUAACAAACUUUUCUAACAUAAUUAGAUAUAGUAAUAUAAUUGUUUUGAUAGCUACUAGGGAUGACCUACCUUCAGGAAUUUCUUUUCUAAAAAUGACUUCUUGCUUAUAUAAUCUUCCAUAUAAACUAUAUUUUUAUCUAUGGAUCCUUCCAUAUAAACUUUAGAAUCAAUUUGGCACUUUUAAGAAGCAAAUACAUAAAAACACAAGAACUGGCAAAAAUUAAUAUUGGAACUACAUUAAGCUUACCAAUGAAGUUGGGGAUAGGAUUGAUAUCUUUUAAAUAGUAAACUUUUUCAUUUAGAGACUUGGUAGGUCUUUCCAUUUUUCUAAGACUACUUUUAUAUUUUAAUAUAUAAAGAAUACAAUUUUAUUUAGAUAGGCAUAGCACAUGUCUUGUUAUUCCAAGUUGUUCUCUCUUUUUAGUUGCUCUUGUGAAAGGGAUUUGUUCCCUGUUAUGUUUUCUAACUGUUUUUUUCUGCUUUACAAGAAGCCUGUGUAUUUGUAUGUAGUUAUCUCAUAGCUUGCUACCAUAGUGAAAUCUCUUUUUAGCUCUAAUGGCUCUCGGUUUACCCUCUUGAGAGUUUUCUCAUUGUGAAAUAAUAAUGUAUGCAAAAAACGUGUUUUCUACUUUCCAAUGUUGUUAAUUUUUCUUAUCGCAUUGAAUUGUGAAACAGCCUGUGGAACGAUGUUGAAACAUAGUGGCGAUGGUGGGUACUUUUAUCUUUUCUCAUGACUUUAGUGAGAACGCCAUUAAUUUGGUCAUAUAGUCAUUUAUAUUUAUUAAAUUAAGGAAAUUGUCUUCUAACCUUAGUUCACCAAGUAUUUUUAGCAGGGAUCGGUGUUGGAUUUUAAUAGAUGCACUUUUAGCAUCUUUUGAGCUGUUGGUAUGAUUUUUCUUUGUUACUUUACCAAUAAAGUAAAACAUAUUAAUAGGUUUCCCUAUAUUGAACCACACUUUUAAUCCUAAAAAGAAAUCUACUUGUCAUGUGCAUUUGACCUUGAAAUACACCACUGAUUUUGGUCUAUCAAUAUUUUUGUUGGAUUUUUGUAUCUGUUAAUGCGAGAUGUUUAGGGCUUAUUUUUUUCAACUUUUGGUAUUAGCAUUAUGCCCAAUUUGUAAAAUAAAUGAAGAAUUGUUUCUUUUGCUAUUAUAUAUGUAAAACACUUUUAAUAACUUAAGUAUUAUCAUUUUCUUGAAGGUAUGAUACGUUAUGUGUAAACCAUCAGGGUCUGGAUAAUUUUGGCAAUUAUUUCCAUUUCUUCUAUGGUUAUUGAUAUAUCUUUUGUUUUAUCUCUUUAGUUAAUUUUGGUAACUUUGCUAACUAGCUUUUCAUUUUCAAAUUAAAAAAAUAUUUACAUUACAUUUAAAAAUGCUUUAAAAAUUUCCUCCAUGUUGUGGUUGUGUUCCCUUGUCUGGCAUAGCAUUAUAUAUGUGUUUCUCUCUCUCUUUGGGGGGGUCAGAUUUGCCAGAGAUUUGUCUAUUUUACUUUUCUUUCAAAAAUACCGGCUCUUGUUUUUAUUCAUGAGUUCUUCUAUCUAAUUUCUUUGUUUCAUCAACCAAUGGCGUAACUGCCAAUCAAAGUCAUAACUCAAUACACAGUAACUAGCGUCAUCAACCCAACUUGAAUUCUAUCCCAAAACAAAGAAAUUUGACAUUUUAUUAACCUCUGCAACCUUAUUGUAAAUGAAAUAACAAUUUUACCACAUUUUACUACUGUGUUUCUCUUGAUGUUAUUUACACUCAUCUUAUGAACAGUGGGCUUACGGGGCAUCUACCCCCAGCUCAGCGUUCAGUGAUGUCACUUCAGUAGCCUGAAAUUGGUCAUUCCUCAGUUUACCAGGCUGCUGCACAAAAUUCACUCUCCAGCCCUACUUUGGAGCAAUGAGGAACCCCAGCGUCUUGAUCUGUCGUUUUGGAGCUGCUUCAUGUGGAAGAUGGAUAGGACCAGUUUCAGCAAACCUAGUAUCUGUCCAUUGACAAGAGAUGAUGGAGUUCAAGCAGGUUUGAUGGGGCUUGUCCAAAGAAAUGCAGUCCCAGAGCAGGUACCCUUUUCUCUUUCAAGGUCCACUAAUCCCCAAGGGGAACAUGAAGAACGCACAUGGGGCCCAAAGAAACACACAUCCGUGUGCACCCACACAUAGAACAGUAAAUUUUUAUCUUAGAGUGAAAAAGAGAAAAUGUUCAAAGCACCUACUUUAAAAAUUAAAACGCAGAGUUCUCAAAACAAGUAAUACCAAUUUAUCUUUGGACUUAAUUUUAUAGUUUUUGAAUGGCAAGGGGUGGGAGGCAUAAGAGAGGUCAAGACCUGAGACUGAGGUAGGAAAUGGGAAAAGAAAAGAGAGGGGAGAGGAAAGGGUAUGGAACAGAGGAAGGGGGUGGGAAGAAAAGGAAAUGUGUGGAGAGGACAGGUGUGAGAAGAGGUGCGUUGUGGGAUGAAUAGGAGCCCGCUGGGUGGGGGAUGGAGUCAGGCGACUCUGGUUCCACUUGGCCAAAGGGGCAGGAGAAGAGUUGCCCCUGCUCUGACUAGCACCCUGAGGGGGUUGCGACCAUCUGAGAAGUAGCUUUUAUUCUUGAUAAUGAGAGUAUUUUCUCAUGAACAUCUUCACCUUGUGGCAAAAUUAUCUAGAAUUUAAGAUUUUAGUAAAGUGGGGCGCCUGGGUGGCUCAGUCGGUUGAGCGUCCGACUUCGGCUCAGGUCAUGAUCUCGCGGUGUUUGAGUUUGAGCCCCGCUUCGGGCUCUGUGCUGGCAGCUCAGAGCUGGGAGCCUGCUUCCGAUUCUGUGUCUCCCUCUCUCUCUGCCCCUCCCCUGCUCAUGCUCUGUCUCUCUCUGUCUCAAAAAUAAAUAAAAACAUUUUUUUUUUAAUUUUUUUUUUCAACGUUUAUUUAUUUUUGGGACAGAGAGAGACAGAGCAUGAACGGGGGAGGGGCAGAGAGAGAGGAAGACACAGAAUCGGAAACAGGCUCCAGGCUCUGAGCCAUCAGCCCAGAGCCGGACGCGGGGCUCGAACUCACGGACCGAGAGAUCGUGACCUGGCUGAAGUCGGACGCUCAACCGACUGCGCCACCCAGGCGCCCCAAUAAAAACAUUUUAAAAAAAGAUUUUAGUAAAUUAUUUUAGGUUUUGUAAGUGUAGCCUGUAUUUUGCUUUGGUGGAUUUAAAAUCUGACAGGUGAUAUUAUUUUAAAGAGGGAUUCAAAAUGCCUCAUUUCACCAUGUCUAGAGAUUACAUUUGGAAUCAGUGUUUAUUUAAAAAUAAAGCUGGGGGUGCCUGCGUGCCUCAGUUGGUUAGAUGUCUGACGACUCUCGAUCCCCGCUCAGGUCUUGAUCUCCGGGUCGUGAGUUCGAGCACCGCGUUGGGCUCCAUGUGAGGUGUGGAACCUACUUAAAAAAAAUCUUGGGGCAACUGGGUGGCUUCAUCAGUUAAGCAUCCUACUCUUGAUCUCAGUUCAGGUCAUGAUCUCAUGAUUCAUGAAUUCAAGCCUUGCAUUGGGCUCUCUGCUGACAGCACAGAGCCCACUUUGAAUCCAUUGUCCCCCUCUCUCUUUGCCUCUUCCCCGCCCAAUAAAUAAACACUAAAUUUUUUUUUAAAUCUGUUUUCAGUCUUUUUAGGACCUAGUAUGAAGAACAUACAAUGCGAACAAAGAACAUGAGAAAAGACACUUUCACAGGAAGCUUCCCAGGUUUAUUGUUUAUUUAACUGCUUUGAACGAAAUGCUUGGGUCUUACCUGAAUGAGAAUGUGGACGAGACGCAGUCAUCAUGAAGAUGAACACUGUGUCCCGGCUGAAGCUUCUGCUGUUGGACAACACUGUCUCCUGUGGCGUGGAAGACUAGCAUCAUCUGAAAGCAAGAGGGAAUCGACAACGAACAGUACUGGGUCCUACCCAGGAGGAGGGUAAGUUCGAGUAAUUAUUGACAAGCUCAUGUUUGGUGCUGGGGGUGGGGUGGUCAGGGUACCGUGCCGCCCCCUGGUCACAAGCAAAUCUGCAGAAUCAUUCCACAGCUUUUCUAGUGAACUUAGCCUGUGUCCUGACUGUCAUUGACUGGAACGGAAAGCUGUAAUUGGUGACCUUUGACUUCUCCCGGCAUACAUGCAACUUUCCUCUCUUCCUCCACCCUUUCCUUGCCUCUUCUCUCCUGACUUCCAUGAGUGACUGUGGCAACCGGCAUGCGAGAGUGACGCCCAGGAAUAGCAUCCGAUCUUUGAUGAGACCAGGACCUAGAGGCUGCGGGUGCCCCUGUCAGCACACAGGGCAGGGGGUUGGUGACCAGACGGAAGGCACCUGUGAUCAGCAAUGUCAGUCUUAGUUUGAGACGUGAGGGUAUCUGGAGAAGAAAAGUGUUACAUGUCACUGAGUCACUAGGAUUGAAUGUCGUAGGUAGAAAAUGGCAGAGCAGAAGAAAGAAACACAGGGAUACAGGACGGAGUGUAGAAUAAUUGUGGCGGGAACAGCCCAGUUGGCUGUAACAAUGUCACAUGUCUGCGUGUAAGGCACGCUGUUGAUUAGAAAAGAGACUCUUUGUUCUGAAAUGUCUGCAUCAGUGAAAGUCAAGGAUGUGAGCUCGGAGGGGGCACAGGGAACUCAAGUGCACUCCUUUGCCUUAAGAGGGUCUCAAGGCUUGGGUGCAGAACUCAAGUAGCAUUUUGGAACAUCGUCCCCUCUCUGUCAGGCUACAUGCAGCACAAGAGAUGGUCCUCCUGUCAGCCUGUAUUGGUGGUGGAGUGGACUCGAGCUGUCUCAUAGACGCAAGUUUCUCACUCUGUUAGGUCAAGGACUGUGUGUCAUAUUUCCCUUGCACUCCCAUUUAUUUGUCAAAUGGUAGGUACGCAAAAGCCCAUGCUAAAUGGACAUAGUGCAAAGGGCUCUGAACUUGGAGGCACGAAGGCCUGAACUUUGAUACGGUUUUACACCUGUCAGCCCUGGGAGCUCCGGCAAGACUUUGGGCUUCUGUGUCUCUCCACAGAGAGGAGGGAUCUCUGUUCUGCCUGCCUUGCUGGGUUAACGAAAGAGUUCCCAACACAUCUCCUCUCCUGAGCUGGCACUCCCACAGAAAUGUAAUGCACCCGUCCUUCAGGUCUUUAUUCAGCUGUCAUCUCCACUCUGAGAACUUCCUGGUUUUUUAGCUGGAUCAGGGCUUGGGAAAAGCGAGACAGCCCAGGUGGUGUGACUGGUCGCAAGCCCGAACCUGCCCUUGCCUGUGACACCCUGCUUUGAGGACAAGCUACUUGCAAAGGCUCGACUGUUUACUUCUUUUAUUUCUAAGGCUGGGUUUUUUUUUUUUUUAAUGUUUAUUCUUGAGAGAGAGAGAGAGAGAGCACACAUGCACGUGCACUAGCACACUAGUGGGGGAGGGGCAGGGGAGAGGGGAGCCGGAAGAUCCAAAGCAGCAUCCAGCUGACAGCACAGAGCCGGACACGGGGCUCGAACUCAUGAGCUGUGAGAUCAUGACCUGAGCCCAAGUCGGACACUCAACUGACUGAGCCACCCAGGCGCCCCCAGAGAUGGAUUUUAAAAAAGCUUAUAGUCCAGUGAGGGAGGCAGGGCACACAAACAAGAAGACAUAGAUACAGGAUUAGGAAUUGUGCUAAGUGCCAGGAAGAAAACAAGUACGGAGGAUAAGGUGGAGGGAGACCCAUUUCGAGCAGUUGGAAGUGUUCUCUAUUAGCAGGGACCUUCGGCAAAAAACAAGCUGGCCAGGCAGAGAUAAGAUAACAACAAACAUUCUGGGCUGAAGGAACAGGAAGGCCUGGCUAAAAAGUUUUCUAAAUGAAGAUCUGCAAGUUGGCGGGUGAGGCUGGAGUCUAGGGCCGAGAGGAAGAGAAUGGCCCAGGAUGCGUUCAGAGGGUAGACUGGGGCCAAGUCCUGGGUGACUGAAAACUGGAGUAGGUAGUUUUUGUUUUGUUUUUUUGUUUUUUUUUUUUUUUUUUAAAUUUUUUUUUCAACGUUUAUUUAUUUUUGGGACAGAGAGAGACAGAGCAUGAACGGGGGAGGGGCAGAGAGAGAGAGGGAGACACAGAAUCAGAAACAGGCUCCAGGCUCUGAGCCAUCAGCCCAGAGCCUGACGCGGGGCUCGAACUCCCGGACCGCGAGAUCGUGACCUGGCUGAAGUCGGACGCUUAACCGACUGCGCCACCCAGGCGCCCCGAGGAGUAGGUAGUUUUAAAGUGACGUCAUGGUCUGAGUCUAGGACAUUUCUCUGUCUCAAAGUCAAACUAAAAAUACUGCCUUUGAUGCUCACACUUACAUACCCAUCGACUGGGAAAUAUUCUUAUCUCCCCCCUCUCUCUGACCACCCCAUUCCAUAUCCAAUUUGUCUGCAAAUCCUGCUAAGUCCAUCUGCAAAUAUCUUUCCAAAUCCGUCCACGUAUGUUCACCUGCCUCUCACCACCCUACCUCAAGCCACUGCCCCUCCUGCCUGGUCUACUGUAGAGGCCUUCUCGAUAGUAGUGGGCUGGGAAACUGGUCAGGAGGGUGGGAGGGUGGGGAAGCCCUGAUCUGUAGCCUUUGCAAGUUUCUUUGGUAUAAAAACUCACACCAUGGCCCAUUUCAGUCUACCAAACUGAUGCCACUAAAUGUGGCCGUGGGAAGAUGUGUGCACAGUCCACUUUCUCAAGCCAGAACAAGCCAGCCGCAGCACCACCACUGCUUGGGUGAUCCUGUUUCCUUCCCCCGCCAAAAGGAAGAAAAUAUUGCCAGUUGACACGGGUGGACCUUAAGGGCGGUAUGCUAAAUGAAGUAAGUCAGACAGAGAAAGAAAAAUACUGUAUAACUCACUUAUUUGUGGAAUGUAAAAAACCAAAGUCAUGGAUUUGUGGUUGUCAGCGGUGGGGGAGGAGGAGUUGGGGCAGGGUGGUUAAGGGCACACACUUCCAGUUUUAAAGUAAGUAAGUGCUGGGGGUGUAGCGCACAACGCGAUGACUGUAGUUAACUCUGCUGUAUGGGUAUUUCGAAGUUGCUAAGAGUAAAUAAUAAAAGUUCAUUUUUUGGAACUAUAUGAGGUGAUGUGUGUUAACUAAACUGGUGGUAAUCAUUUUGCA
rnacentral:lncRNA from 1 species